UACGUAGGGUGCGAGCGUUGUCCGGAAUUACUGGGCGUAAAGAGCUCGUAGGUGGUUUGUCGCGUUGUUCGUGAAAUCUCACGGCUUAACUGUGAGCGUGCGGGCGAUACGGGCAGACUAGAGUACUGCAGGGGAGACUGGAAUUCCUGGUGUAGCGGUGGAAUGCGCAGAUAUCAGGAGGAACACCGGUGGCGAAGGCGGGUCUCUGGGCAGUAACUGACACCGAGGAGCGAAAGCGUGGGGAGCGAACAGG
rnacentral:rRNA from 1 species